UUCUAUAAUAAGAGUUUAGGGUGGAGAAAAUGAAUCUGCUUCCAGACCAUUCCACUUUUUCACAUCCUGAUUUAGUCAGCUCCUUUUUCUGCUUUGAUUUUCAGUUUGUGAAGGGAGGUGAAGGUCAGGGCAUUUCCUAAGCAAAUUCAAAAGUGCUCAAGCCUCAAAUAUCCCUAGAAGAAUACCAACUGAAAACACACCCAGGAACGUUUAUUACCUGGAGUGGUGAUAAUAGAAGGUCCCAAAGUCUAGUCCACCAUCCUGCAAUGUUCAACUUUCCAGUUUUCCAGUUCUUAG